AGCCCGGGAGUCACUGCCCCAGAUUGGGUCUCACCCCUGGCCCCAGGGAGGCAGCGGGCAGAGGCUCAGGGCUGCUGGGGGAGGGGGGCCUGUGUGUGCCCGUGAUGUGUGCCCCCUGCUUGUGGGGACCCCUCAGACCAGCAUCCGGGAGCGCAGGGAGGGACAGAAAAAGGGGGAUCCAGGACCACUCAUAGGAGGACCCAGGACCACCACCCAGAGGGGAGCAGAGCCACCCCAAGAUGACCACUCACCAGAGAAUGCUGCAACCUUUAGGUUGAGAUGAGCAGCUGUGAGCCUAGCACAGGUGCCCAAGGGACCAGGGACCCAGCCCCGGGAGGUGGGCAGACAGGACAGCGGCAGGGGGUGUGGAUGACACAAGCCACUUCACACCCCAGGAUGGCUGCCCCCCAUCCCCAUGGCCCCGGCACUGGGUCAAGGGUGAACAGGAUGCUGGGCCCACCCAGAUGCUACAAGUUCAACAUGAAGACAAGUCCCUGGUUACCAGCUACAAUCAACGGAUCCAUACACCGCUGUGCACUCGAAAGAUGCCUUCUCUCCUGGGUAUUCUCCAUCUCUGCAGGGAAGAUGCCUAGCACCCAAGCAAUGUAUUUUUCAACAAUCCACAUACUUGUUGCACCCCGUGAAACCCCCGUCGGUCACCCUCAUCAUCUUUGGCAGAGAGAAUGGAUAACUGUCACCCACCAGGACCUCUUUGACUAAAUCAUCUACCUAUCGAUCUGGAGGGACCGUAUGCCUCAAGGAUCCUGGACCCUGUCUUCUUCAGCUAGCCUGAGACUCUGGUACCAACAUUCCCAUGAGCAGAGGAAUAAAUGCGAAACCAAGUGGGUCCCCCGGGUGUCUCCAAUGUUACCACGUACAAGUCUUGUGUGAUCAUGUCAAAAGUCUGUGCUUUCAGUGCAGUUGUGAAGAUGGAAGUCGUAUAUUCUGGGGAGAAAGAGGGUUUUAUUUCCCUUCUGAACAUUUUAAAGGGAAAACAUUUAUGAUGUUUGAUCAGCUUAUGAAUAACACAGAUGAAGGAAAUGCAAACUCUCAUCAUAUGGAAAACAAACACACAUAAUAACACUUCUUAGUGUUUCGUAUCAAGAGUUUAUUGGAUCUUGCCCCCCCCAAAAUUUUUUUUUUUAAUUUUACAGCAGAAACCUGAGGCUCAGAGAAGCUAGAACUUUGUUUAGGUUUAUACAACUGACCGUGCUUAACCAAGUUUCUCCUGAGAAUAAACGACAAAGUCUGUAAAACCAGGGAGAUGUAACAGCUCAAUGCAUCACCACAGCCUGCAUAACAUCCUGGAACAAAAAGGGGACAUUAAUGGGAAAGCUGGUGAAAUCCAAAUAAAGUCUGCAGUUUGGCUU
ensembl:lncRNA